UAUGUGCAAAAUGAUUCUGUCUUCAUUUUUUUUGCAGCACUCCCCUUCUCUUAUUGUGCUUUUUAUUGUUAUCUAUGAGACUUUAGGAUUUGUUAGUGCUUGGUGUCUAUAAAAUUUUGCUAGGGUUGUUUGGUUUUUUCUUGCUUUGUGAAUUUUGGUAUUGUGAUUUUGUGUGUGCGAUUUGUUCAUUGGGGGUGAGUUGAGAUGGAUGAGUGAUAUGAACCAUUGAAGGACCUUGGUGUAGGGAAUUUUGGGGUGGCAAGGUUGGUGAGAGAGAUAAGAAGACAAAAGAGCUUGUUGCAGUCACAUAAUUCAGUCAUGCUUUGAGUUCUGCAAAUGUUGGUGCUAGAAGUUGUAAUGUGUUUCUUCUUUCUUAUGUUUUACUUCUUGCUUGAUCUUAAAUUUUAAAUUAGGCUUGUUUCCCCCGGCUGGUACGUACAAACUGUUUUGCUCAUUGUUUGUGUACUCAAAACCCUGUUUGUAAAACACUAUAUAUAUUGCCUGGCUAGAUAGGUGUGACCUAUGACAACUGCUAGUGCUACAACCUUUGUCGAUGGGAUGGGUUUGUGUUUAUAAAUAAUAUAACCUUUGAUUUUGGGUAAAAUAAUAAAGUGAGUUGUUAAAAUGAAUAAAAUAACUUUUUGAGAUGCUAUAUUUUAUAGCAUUAUUGAUGAGAAUGCUCUAAGAUGUUAUACAUUUAAAAAAAAAUUAUAACUAUAGAUGAUCUUAGGUUUUUUUUUUUUUUUUUUUUUUUGCUUUUAUUGUCAAAGAAUUUUAUGUGAUAGGCUAUAGUUGUUGAGUUUAAUUUUGUCAAGGUUGGAUAGUUGUUGAGUUUAAUUUUGUCAAGGUUGAAGCUCCCACAAUUUUCCACGCCAGCAUAUAUUAAAAAAAAAAAAACAAAAAAAAAACUUCAUAACCCGAUACUCAGGCUUUUUGCUUUCACGAUGGUCUUCUUUUUCAAACACAAACUCAGCCAGAUCAAACUCAGGCUUUUUGCUUUCACGAUGGUCUUCUUUUUCAAACACAAACUCAGCCAGAUCAAACUCAGUCUUUCUCCUUCAAACGCAGACUCUUCUCCCAUCUCCUUCCUUCAACUUUCUCAUUGAAACGCAACUCCCUCUCCUUCUUUUCAUCGUUUCCCCCAACCCUUCACUGUCAGUCUGUCACUUGCCUUUGCUCCCCCAUGAAAAACACAAAUACGGACACAAAUCUCCUUUCAAUAUCAGUUUUCUUUGUAUAGUUAAUUACCUUUUAUUUCUUUAUGAAAGUAUCUGUCUUGGUUCAUUGGUAUUGCUGUCUUUUUGUUUGCUUAAAUUUCUCAGGGAAUGUGUAGAACAUGUUGAAUAUAUAAUAUGGGGAAAAUAUCAAUGCCUUGGAAGAUUUUACUUUGAAUUUGUUGGGAAAAAAUAUUGAUUUUCUUUAUGCUAGAAAGUGUUGCUUCCCUAAAGAGAUGCUGAUUAUAUGUCUACCAAUAAAUUUGUUGUUUGCCUAUAGCGAUAUUGAUCAUAUAGCUUUAUAUAGAUACAUUGAUUAUUUGUCACUGAGAAACCAUAGAUCUAGGCAAAAUAUAUAUAUACCAAUUUCGUUUUAUAGCUUUUAGUUUAGAUUCUUUCCACUUUUUUAAAUUUCGAAAUAUGAUUUAAAUUCUGGUAUUGUUUUGAAUGUUUUGAAUUAAGAAUUUGAAUUAGUUUGGUCCACACAAAAGUGGCUAUUAUGUGUUUGACUAAAUGCUGGAGUUAAAAUCUGGUCAGGAAACAUACUUAUGAACACACAUCUGUUUGGUCGCUAAUCCAAUAGGUUGAGAAGUCUGAAAACAGUUUAUAACCCAAUAGGCUGGUAAUUAUUUGUAGCUUAGCUUCAUUGAUGGUAUGUACUUAAAGUUAAAAUGAUUUCAAGCAGCUUCAUUCAUGGCAUGUACUUAAAUGAUUUCAAGCAAUUGCUUCAAAUAUUUUUUAUUUUCUUGCUCGUAGAAAUAACUAUUACUACAUUGUCUCUAUUUAAAUGAACCUUACUGUAUUUUAAAUUUUUUCCAUAGAGAGUGUCUUGGCUGAGCCUAAUAGCACCGCUUCGAAUAAUUGUGUGUUACUUUUAACCCAACAUUUGGUGUUUUUGAAAUUGAUAGUAUGUCUUACUUAAGAUGUAUCCAAAGAGUUUAUGAAAUUUGGUUUUAAUUGUUUAUAGAGAUAGUUGAAAUUGAAAUAAAUAGGCAUUUCAUUUGAUUCCUUUCAAAUAGACACUCUUUCAAACUACUAUUAUUUGCAUCUACUUAAAAUGUACCUAAAGGAAAUUAGAUGCAUUUGACACAAAUAUAUGUUGUUGCAAAUGAUCUCCUAAACAGUUUCCAACAAGCCAGCAUAAUCAAACUUGGGGGCCAUCAAGAGUAGAUAAGCAGAGAUACUUAGACUAUUUGUCAACUGUUUCGUUUUGAAGUUUUGAAUAUUGUGUUUAUGAGUUGCUUCUUAAAAGAGAUAGUGGCAUAGUACCCCAUGUGUUUAUGUGGCAUAUUAUUCCCUGGCAGCAAAUGCAUGGUCCAUUUGCAGGGUCCUGAAAAAAAUUGUUGACAGCUUGCAAUAUAGCUAUACAUGCAUAAUUGUUUUGCUGUUACUUCUUCAUGGACUUAAAGUUUUAUAAGUCAUUGAAAAACCUUUGUACAUGGUUACAUCAUCAACUUUACCAAUUCAAAGAGAUAUAAACAUCAGAGCUUAAGCUUUAGGUACAUAGAUAUUAUGUUACAUUUCAUCGACUUGUGAACUAGGUUUGUUUUAAUGUCUUAUUGAUAAUUUGACAAUUAUGUUUUGGGCCUUUGUUUAUCUUAUAUAGUGGUUUUUUAUCUUCCUUUGUCAUGAACAAAUGAGCUUCUUUGCUCUAGGAUAAAUUGUUGUUAAAAAAAAAAAAUUAGUGGACUUGGCAACAUCAAAGUUAUACUAUAUAAUUAAUUUUGCAAUAUUUAUCCCGUGCAUCACACACGGGUUAGUGACUAGUUAAUAUAAUCUUUGAAGAAUGGGAAGGCUUUGCAUGGUUUCUAAAGAAAUAUUGAAUGAUAACUAUUUUGGGAACUUUGAAGAAUGAGAAGGCUAAUGAAAUAUGCUAGGACAUAAAUAUCAUGAUCAUUGCCAACAUUGACCAAAAGGAAGGCAUCAAUAAAUUUGAAGUGUUUGUGACUCCGUCGUGACUAAAUGCUAUGUGGCAAAAGAUCAGCUGGACCUAAGGGAAAACGUCUACAUGUAAAGACCGUGGGUUUGGAUGCAUUACUUAUACAGAUAGUAUUUUCACAUUAAGCAGAGUCCAAGUUUGGUUUGGAUUGUGUUUGUCAGCCAAGUACUAAUGGACUAGGACAGCUAAGAUAUACGUAGGGCUACUUUUUUUACACAUUCAAUAGUUUUUUCUUUUUUGUUGUAAAUAUCUAUAACUUCAAUAGUUUUAUGUUGCUAAUGGAUUAGAAAGAAUAUUCAAUGGUUUAUUUUUUAAGAAUACAUCCGAUUGUUCCUAUGCAAAGUAAUUUAGAGGAUAUUACUAUGCAUUUUCUUAUGAGACAUUUUGGCUCUGUUUUGUAUUCAAGAUUGAAGUUAAGGUAGGUAGAUGUAUAGUUUACUGAUCUAGGGAGGUUCUUGGCCGCUUCUUUCAAACAUUGUGCUUUCAACUGGAGUGAUUAAUUGGUAGUAUACAUAGAGCUGAACUUUUACGUUGAUGCUGAAAUAUGUUCGAGGAACUUCGUCUUUCAGACUUAUUAAGCUUUUAUGUUGCUCCUCUUUUAGAUAAGGAUUCAAACUACUUUUUACUUCAAGUAAUUUCUAUUUGAAACCGAGGUAAAACUACUUAUAAUAUUGAUAAUGUUUUAGAGAGAGAACUAUUGAAAUUUUACUUUUGUUUUAAUAUGCUAACUCCAAUUGCAUUGAUGACUUACAGAACUCCCCUCUCUAUACUAGUCAUCAAUAAGUUAUUUAUGAAAUGUUUUAUACAGGUAACAAGUAUGCAGCGGCCAACAAAUGCUAAAGUUUUAUACAGGUAACAAGUAUGCAGCGGCCAACAAAUGCAACGACGACUUCUGUACAUGAGCCUUACAAUGAUGCCACUUAGGUUGAUUACUUUAUGGGCUCUCUUAUGAGGUAUUUCCAUGGCCUUCAUUUGCAGUCUUCCAAACCUAAGACUUUCAACAUUCCCAUCUCCUAAGAAAAAUAAAAACAAAAGAAUAGUUGGGUUUCUUUUUCCUUGACAACAUUGUGUAAAAAUACUUGUGAGAUUUCCUUCAAACUUCAAAAUCUAAUGAUCUUUGACUCCACGGUAAGUAUGUUCUGCUUGAGGAGGUACACAAGUUAUCAUCUCUGAUGCCUAUUAUUGUCAUUAUCAAAGAUGUUUUUAAGAUAUAUUUUGCCACAUUUCAAAUCCUAUAUAUACUUUCACAAUAUAGCAUGUUCUGCAUAUGUACUCUUAAUGUUUUCGUCGAAGCUUUACAAUAGCAAAUAACCUUGGCGAAGUUUAUACAAAGGCACAGGUUAGGACUUCAGAUACAGCAAACAGACAGCCGUGCAGAUGUAGCUUUCCUCUUCGAACUUUACAUUCAAACAAGAGAGUGGGAACUUCCAGUUAUGGCACAAAGCUCUGUAUGUUUGAGUCCUUCACAUCCCCUUGAUUCCCCCUUUAUCGUACACCACACCCCCCAAGCUACCUUUGGGGUCUGGUUGAAACAAAAGCAUUUAGUGAUUGGCCGUUCAAUGGAGUUACAUACUACUAUACUACCUUAGCUUUGCUGGAGCUUUGUGGUGCUAGGGAUAUAUACUAGAGGUUGAACAAUUGCAAUUUAUUCAUCUUCAGGUUUUGUGCAAGUACUGAAUCAUGUAUAAUUUACUGUUUUCAUUGAACCUUCUUCAUGGAUUUAUGCUGAAGUCAUUGUGCUAUUGCAGAAUUUGAGCAGCACAGCAGCCUUGACAUUCUAGGUUCUACAUCUUCCUAGGGCGAUUGGCUAGGGAUGGCCAAGAAGCACUCCCUCUCCCACUCUAAAUCUCUAACCUUUAUGGGCUAUGGCGUUCCUGCUACAACGUUUUCAAAUAUAUUGAUCGGACUGGUUCAAUAUAUUACAAGAAUGGUCAAGAUCGAUAGCUCUCAUGAACUGGCUCGACCUUGAACAAACAAGAGACAUAACGCCAAAAUCCGAUCCAACAUGAACGGUGCAAAGCCAAAGAGGAGCAGAAGGGGCGAUGGUUGUUGUGAACUUUUGCCACAGUCCAUUGGUGCGAAGAAGGGGUUGGGGUUGGGGCUGAGGUUGUCUCUCUCGAAGCUAAGGAGCCAAAGCGAAAGCGAAGAUUGUUCUGAACCAUUGUCACAGUCCCAAGAUCAAGCAUUGAUCAUUUCAUUACCUUUCAAUCCAGCAAUUCAAUAUGCAAGGCCAUGAGAGAGAAAAAAAAACCCUUGGUUAUAUUGAAGCUGGUGUUGCUGCAACAUGUCACAUUACAUGGAGAGUGGUAAGGAGGAAGACAAGUCGGGAAUGUGAUGCUGUGUUGUUGGCCUUAUUUUCUCAAUGUCAUAUGUUUGAUAUUGGGAUUGGUAUUGAUGGGCAAAUAGGUUAUGCCAUUGUUCCUAUGAUUGUAAGGGGAAUCAUGUUGGGUCCUGAUAAGCUUGUGAUUCUGCACUUGCUUGAUAUUGGCAGGCAGCUGAAUCCUUGAAUGGGAUAAGAAUGGAAAUGACUGAUGCUGCCUUUCCUCUUCUGAAAGGGCUAGUUGCUACCACAGACGUUGUUGAAGUGUGUAAAGAUGUCAAUAUUGCCGUUAUGCUUCGUAGAUACCCACGGAAGGAAAUUACGUUAAGGAAGGAUAUAUUGUCUACAAUUGUGUCUAUUUACAAGGCUCAAGCUUUGGCCUUGGAGGAGCAUGAUGCUGCAGAUUGCAAGGUAACCAUAUAAAUGCACUUGGAGGAGCAUACUGUUGAUGACAAAACAAUUCAAAUCACAAGUGACAAUUCAAGAAGAGAUGAACAUCAACAGAAGAACCAUUAGUGAAAUAACAAAAAUUAUGUGGGACUUUGAUAAUAAGGCUUACAUUAUUUCAAAUGAAUAUAACAACAAAUUAUCAAGUGAACAAGAUGGUGAUUCUACAAAGUUUCAAAAAGUUUAUGUUCAAAGUUAUGUACAACUCACACCAACAUCUGUAAUCAAGGAAAACAAAAUGGCAUAUUUAGUGACUUCUACAAAGCAACAAAGGAAGAAGAUACAAAGAACACUUUAAAGUUGUCUUUCAAUUUAUUUGAAAUAUUGAUUGAGUAGUUUUUUAAAUUUGUGUUUCAUACAUUUAAUGGACAAUUGAGGAUGUUAAAGAUUUGAUUCUUCAUUUUAAUUUAAACUUAAGUUUGAUUUCUA